UAUAGUUAGUGUAAUACCCGACUUUGGCCCGGGUAAAAAGGCCCAAAUACAACAAAAUUACAAACGGGCCACAAAGCCCAAAAAACAAAUUCAGUGGCCCAAACCAAACAGAGCUCGAAACAAACGGAUGAAACCCUUGGGUUUCUAGGAAGCAACAGCGCCGCAGCCGAGCCAAGGCCGAAUCUCCCCGAUCUUCACCUGCAAAACAAGGAAAGAAAAUCAAACAAUAUAUGGAAAAAUCAUAGAUUUGAGAAUCAAAGAUAUAUCCGGAUUUAUUCCUUCUUUGAUUUAUUUUCAUUCGACUAUAAAAGGAGAUGAAAUACAUUGUAAAAGGGAUCGAAAAAAAAUCAAAUAAAAAUCAAGG
rnacentral:lncRNA from 1 species